UACGGGGGGGGCAAGCGUUGUUCGGAAUUACUGGGCGUAAAGGGCGCGUAGGCGGCCUGCUAAGUCGGACGUGAAAUCCCUCGGCUCAACCGAGGAACUGCGUCCGAUACUGGUGGGCUUGAAUCCGGAGAGGGAUGUGGAAUUCCAGGUGUAGCGGUGAAAUGCGUAGAUAUCUGGAGGAACACCGGUGGCGAAGGCGACAUCCUGGACCGGUAUUGACGCUGAGGCGCGAAAGCCAGGGAGCAAACGGG
rnacentral:rRNA from 1 species